GAUGAACGCUGGCGGCGUGCCUAAUACAUGCAAGUCGAGCGAACGGACGAUAAGCUUUCUUCUCUGAUGUUAGCGGCUGACGGGCGAGUAACACGUGGAUAACCUACCUAUAAUACUGGGAGAACUUCGGGAAACAGUAUCUAAUACCGGAUAAUAUUUUGAACCGGAUGGUUCAAAAGUUAAAGAGGGUCUUGCUGUCUCUUAUAGAUGGAUCCGGGCUGCAUUAGCGAGUUGGUAAGGUAACGGCUUACCAAGGCAACGAUGCAUAGCCGAUCUGAGAGGGUGAUCGGCCACACUGGAACUGAGACACGGUCCAGACUCCUACGGGAGGCAGCAGUAGGGAAUAUUCCGCAAUGGGCGAAAGCCUGACGCAGCAACGCCGCGUGAGUGAUGAAGGUCUUCGGAUCGUAAAACUCUGUUAUUAGGAAAGAACAUAUGCAUAAUUAACUGUGGACAUCUUGACGGUACCCAAACAAUAAGCCCCGGCUAACUUCGUG
rnacentral:rRNA from 1 species